AGUGAACGCUGGCGGUAGGCCUAACACAUGCAAGUCGAACGGCAGCACAGUAAGAGCUUGCUCUUACGGGUGGCGAGUGGCGGACGGGUGAGGAAUACAUCGGAAUCUACUUUUUCGUGGGGGAUAACGUAGGGAAACUUACGCUAAUACCGCAUACGACCUACGGUUGAAAGCAUGGGAUCUUCGGACCUUGCGCGAUUGAAUGAGCCGAUGUCGGAUUAGCUAGUUGGCGGGGUAAAGGCCCACCAAGGCGACGAUCCGUAGCUGGUCUGAGAGGAUGGUCAGCCACACUGGAACGGAGACACGGUCCAGACUCCUACGGGAGGCAGCAGUGGGGAAUAUUGGACAAUGGGCGCAAGCCUGAUCCAGCCAUACCGCGUGGGUGAAGAAGGCCUUCGGGUUGUAAAGCCCUUUUGUUGGGAAAGAAAAGCAGCAGGUUAAUACCCCGCUGUUCUGACGGUACCCAAAGAAUAAGCACCGGCUAACUUCGUG
rnacentral:rRNA from 1 species